CUAACCAGGCCCGACACUGCUUAGCUUCCGAGAUCGGACGAGAUCGGGCGUGCUCAGUGUGGUAUGGCCGUAAGCAAUUACUCUUUGACAAAGUCAGCCUCAUAUUGCUCACGUGACUCGGGACGUGCAGGCAGACAGACUGAAUGAUUCUCUGAAAACCGGCAAAAACGCUGUUUACAUAUGAACCGGCGAAUCGAGCCACAAACAUUUACUGCUCUCGUUUCUCUCAGUGAGGGAGCGGUGCCCAACAUGCUGGCCUUUUUCACAACUCAUUCCAGACGGCGUCAUGCAAGCCAAGAUCCGCUGCCCCAACACCGACUGCUGUGCACCGCCAGACGUGCAGGCAGACAGACAGAGCAAUCAUGGUCAUGGUUUUGACAGGAGGUUUACUGAUUGUCAGUUCAUAGUUGAUAGUUGUCAAGUGGACAAUGGGGUCUUAACAAAUUUAGAGUGGGAAAAAAACUAGCGACGUCGUUAGCCGCUAAUGCCAACAGAGGCGAAUGCUAUUUCGAAAUGGAAACAUUUUUUUUGUGCAAUGCAAUACAGUAUAUAAAUCUAGCAAAUAUGUUUUAUCUUUGCACUGUCUGUUAUUACUGUGCGCAGGUGUUUUUCUGUACUUCUCUGUCGUUGUCCUCACUUCUCUCGUUCUCCUCAUGUCUCUGCUUCCCCUCUUGUCUCUCCCCCCAACCAAUAAAAAGCCCUAAUAACUGAAUUUACUAAUUUCUUAACCAAUAACCCUAAGGGUUGCUGGCCAACCAUAGACAUGCACCAAAAACAGCCUGAUGUAAUGUAGAUUACAGUAUUUUCACACAAUACAUUUUCCAGUUAUUUUCACAGUUGAAAUUAUGCACAUCAUGACAACAUAUUAAUCUUGCAUGAGUGGGCACUAUUUGUAACACAGCACUUUGGUUUAUUUUAUACAGUUUAUUUGGAAAAUACUUAUUCUAAAUCAUUAUACUAAAUAUUAUAGAUUAAGGGCUAAACUUGGGUAGCACCGUGGUUACAUUCAUAAUACCCAACCAAUGGCAAAGUUACACCAAUAUGCAUGGAAAAAUGAGUUUAAUUAAAAUAGCCAGAUUUGGGUUGAAAAAAACAUAGUACAAAAGACCGAAGAGGAUUCACAACACCCUUACAAGAUGUUGAGGAGACUGAGCAGUUGUAUUCUCAAGAAGAGGAAAC
ensembl:lncRNA